rnacentral:rRNA from 1 species
AGAACAAAAGGGUAAAAGC